CAAAAAGAAACAUAUAGUUAACUAAUAUAAACUUAAAACAUCAACUCUAAACCCUAAACCAUGAAACAUCAACUCUAAACCCUAAACCCUGAACCUUCAAAUCUAAACCCUAAAACAUCAACUCUAAACCCUAAACGUAAACCCUAAACCCUAAAUCUAAACUUAAGACAUCAACUUUAAACCCUAAACCAUGAAACAUCAACUCUAAACCCUAAACCCCGAAACAUCAACUCUAAACUCUAAACCUUCAAAUCUAGACCCUAAAACAUCAACAUUAAACCCUAAGCUUAAACCCUAAACCCUAUAUUUUUCUGAAAUUCGAACCCUAAACCCUAAAACCAUAAACCUUCAAAUCUAAACCCUAAAACAUCAACUAUAAACCCUAAACGUAAACCCUA
rnacentral:lncRNA from 1 species